CGCACGGCUUAGCAGCUUCCUUUCCACGCACUCCAUUGCGGUGCUGCUCCCAUUCACUUCCGUGGGGCUUGAAUGGGAGAACUUACUGGUUUUAGAACCAUCUCUAUCAAUUCAGGUUCCAAAUCAGUUAUGUCAAUAUGGUUCCUGGCAGUUCCCUAGCUGGGCUUUUGAUGCAGGCUGCUGCACGGUUUCUAAUAAGCCAAGGGAAAGGAAGGAAGGAAGGGGCAGUCCAAAGACUGGGUUGUCAGUUCACUGUGGAUGAAGACAACACACACACACAUCAAACAUGCAGUCCUGCUCUGCAGAACUCACUUUUGAGUAAAUAAAACUUUGAAUAGAACACCUUCAGGAAUGCCUAGGGACAAAGUCCUUUGGUGCCACCAUGUGGCUACAUCUGAAAAUUACAGCCCACUUUAUUUUCAGUUCCAGAUUUAAAUAAUAACAAUUCAUUCAAUGUGAGGUUUUAAGGCUUGAACUGCAUGUUAUGAAGAAGGCAAAUGGCAGCCCCAGGACGAGUCCUGCUUCCCCUGAGUUCAGUCUACUAGUGUCCUGUUGUCAUGAUGAGGUCAUGACGCCAACAGACUGAGUAGGGAAUGAGAAAAUUCACAGCACAAGGUUGGAAGAAUACGUUGAUGUUGGUUUUCCCCUGUUCCCCAUUUUUUUCAGUCUUAAGUUCGGUCUGCCACAUGUGACUGGCUGGAUAAGGAAGAGUGGUGGGAGUCAUCUGCCUAAGAGCCGCCCCCCAGGAGGGCACAGAAGAUGACGACUUAGGCUGGUUCUACACUGACUUCCUUAACGUUAUUGGAACGAUAUUAGAUACCUUGUUCUAAAAUGUCGCUGGGCAUACUUGUAAAUUAAAGGGUUUCUUACCUCUGCCCCCCCG